UACGGAGGGUGCAAGCGUUUAUCCGGAAUGAUUGGGCGUAAAGCGUCCGCAGGUGGCAGUUCAAGUCUGCUGUCAAAGACCGGGGCUUAACUUCGGAAAGGCAGUGGAAACUGAACAGCUAGAGUAUGGUAGGGGCAGAGGGAAUUCCUGGUGUAGCGGUGAAAUGCGUAGAGAUCAGGAAGAACAUCGGUGGCGAAGGCGCUCUGCUGGACCAUAACUGACACUCAGGGACGAAAGCUAGGGGAGCGAAUGGG
rnacentral:rRNA from 1 species